UCGCUCGAAGUUUAAUCUCACUAGAAGCUAGAGUCUCCUUGAAAAAACUCUAAUUCCACUUUGUCACGCCUUAGAAUCAAAAUUUUUAUUACUGUUCCUCAGAAUUGCAGAAGGAGGUUAGGGUGUAUAUAGUUUGCGAUGAAUCGAGGUCUAAAAGGAGUUAGUUAUUCUACUAAUCGAUUUGUUUCUAUCUGUUUAAAAUUGAUUGAGAAUUUGGGGGUGUUUCAGAUACAAUGGUAGUACAAAAUGUCCCAGCUUUGGGUUGUGUGACAAUCUCGUGAGAGUGACUGAUAAACCUAUGGUGAGGAGUUUACUGAUGUCUUCUGGCUUAAGUUUCGUCUCGUCUCUAAUGCCCAGGUCUUUUGAUUUAGCUGUUCUGUAUUAACGCUAAGUGGUGCGCUGAUUGAUAUAUUUAGGCUAAAGCUGUCGGAAUUGUCCAAGAGGAAGUAUUUGCAAUAUUUGGUUUAAGAUAUAUAUGUUUAUUAUGUUUGAUUGAUUUGCAAAGAGGAAGUUGGAUGAGUCCGUUUUCUUGGGGAAUCGGCUCCAGAUCUCAUUUCUAACUCCUUUGCAACAAGAAUAAAGAUUGUGUCUCCUCUGUAGACUACGAUGAACAAAGCCAAGAACGCUUUCCAAGUCACAAAACCGGCAUUAGAGAUUGCAUCUUCCUCUAUCCUUUUUUGUCUUUUAGGAGUUUGGAAAGAGAGAUGGAGAACCAAAUCCAUAGAAGAAACGC